rnacentral:rRNA from 1 species
CUUCGGGGACAUUGGUGACAGGUGGUGCAUGGUUGUCGUCAGCUCGUGUCGUGAGAUGUUGGGUUAAGUCCCGCAACGAGCGCAACCCUUGUCUUUAGUUGCCAUCAUUAAGUUGGGCACUCUAGAGAGACUGCCAGGGAUAACCUGGAGGAAGGUGGGGAUGACGUCAAAUCAUCAUGCCCCUUAUGCUUAGGGCUACACACGUGCUACAAUGGGUAGUACAGAGGGUUGCCAAGCCGUAAGGUGGAGCUAAUCCCUUAAAGCUACUCUCAGUUCGGAUUGUAGGCUGAAACUCGCCUACAUGAAGCUGGAGUUACUAGUAAUCGCAGAUCAGAAUGCUGCGGUGAAUGCGUUCCCGGGUCUUGUACACACCGCCCGUCACACCACGGGAGUUGGAGACGCCCGAAGCCGAUUAUCUAACCUUUUGGAAGAAGUCGUCGAAGGUGGAAUCAAUAACUGGGGUGAAGUCGUAACAAGGUAGCCGUAUCGGAAGGUGCGGCUGGAUCACCUCCUUU